GUCCGCUUUCUUUAAUCAAUCCUCCGCGCCCCACAACCCCAAGCAACUCCCACUAAUCGUCCCCUUUCCUUCCCUUUCCCGGCGGGGGCAACAAUGGUCGGUGACGGCGAUCGGUUUGCUGCAUCGGCGGUUCCUGCGGCGCCGUGCAGGUUUCUCGGUCACCUGUGAGCUCGAUUUGACCGCCCCCACCUGGCGUCGUGCUGGUUCCGUUCUGGGUAUUCUUGGCGCUGGUCUGGGCUCUGGGGCGAUCGGGACACACCUCCGCUCUGCUUAUCGAGGGUCGAGGCACCCGACGAUCUUCUCCGGAAAAGCGCCCUACUCUUCAUACCAUCAGGUAGGGCCAUAUCUGAACAACUUCUGAGUACAGUGAGUGUCCUGAUAAACAGAUAUGUAACUAUGAUGCUGUUUUUGUGAUUUGGACUUGCAUUAUUUUUCUGAAAGUUCCUGAAAGAUAUGUUUAGAAAAUGUGCAUAGUUCUGUGACGGUGGAUGGUGGAUUGGUGGUCAUGGAAGGGACAGUAAUCAGAAUAGCUAGUGAGUCAAAACGAGGCAAUGAGCAAACAGACUCUUUGACAGAGGUGCCUAGAGCUAUUGGGACUUUAGUAACACAUAAUCGUGAAGUAGAAAACUUAAUUGUACUUGAAGAUGACACGGAAUUAACACCUUAUGAAGGAAUGGAGUUUGAGUCUGAAGAUGCUGCAAGGGAUUUCUACAGCACAUAUGCAAGAAGUGCAGGUUUUCGGAUUCGGAUCAGCAGGUAUACUCGCUCCCGACGUGAUAAUUCAGUUAUUUCUCGUCGAAUUGUGUGUUCAAAAGAGGGAUUUCAUGAAACCCGUGCUUGUGAUGGCCUCCAUCCUGAACAAAAACAACAAGAACGGGCAGGUACUAGAGUUGGUUGCAAGGCAAUGAUAUUAAUUAAAAAGUUUAGUCCUGGCAAGUGGGUGGUAACCAAAUUCAUAAAGAACCAUAAUCAUGGACCAGUUCCACCAAGAAAACUUGAUUCCAGACUAGUAGACCAGGACUGUGAUCCAAUGGAGAAGCCACAUUCUAUUGAGGUGGACCCUGUUGAGGAGCCAUUUGAGGGCAUGGAAUUUGAAUCGGAAGAAGCUGCAAAAUUGUUCUAUGUAAACUAUGCAAGGCUAAAUGGUUUUCGUGCACGUAUUAGUAGAUAUUGUCGUUCAAGGCGUGAUAAUUCAAUUAUUUCUCGCCAGAUUGUGUGUUCUAAGGAAGGCUUCCGUGAAGUUCGGACCAAGAAAGUGUUGACAGAUGAAGGAAAAACAAAGCGCCCAAGAAUGAUAACUAGAGUUGGUUGCAAAGCUAUGAUUGUAGUGAAAAAGAUGAACUCUGGAAAGUGGAUGGUUUCGAAAUUUGAGAAGGAGCAUAAUCAUUCGCUGUCAUAUUCUAAAAUGGUCCCUAGUACCUCAAACAUUACUUCUGGAGAAAUUGUCGAUUUAGCUGCAAAGGGUGCACAUCCUAGUGAAGUAAAAAAUGAAGGAUACAGUGCAGGAACCCAAUGUAAUCCUGCAGAUUCCCUCACUAUACUUUAUAACAACUUAUGCCAGGAGGCCAUAAAAUUUGCAAAAGAAGGUUCAGUCACAGAAGAAAUUUACCAUGUGGCAGUUUCUGCCUUAAAAGAGGCUGCAGAAAAGGUUGCUGAAGUCAAAAGGAGUCGUCCAACAUUGUCACAUUGUGGUUUCGUUAGAGAAAGCAAACAUGAUGUCUUACAGGAGAAAAGUAUGAGUGCUUUGCAAUGUUCAAAUCAGGUUGAACUGACAAGAACAUCUCCUGGGUCCAGGCCUCUUCAAGAUUCUGCAUCAAAUCUUCUGCUGAUACCAACCGACAUUUUGACUGAUUCAAGGUUAUAUAGCGGUGUCGAUACUGCUCCUCUAACAGGAGGUUUCCCCACAAAUGAGAGUGAAAGUACACAUGCAUCAGAAAGUUCUUUUAUGCAUUUUAAGAACACAAAGAAAACCUCUUCAGAAAAAUCUCAGAACACUUGUUUUAAUCAACUCAUCCAUGGAAAGGAGCAAGGUAUCCAUGGAUCUUCUAAAGAUACCAUGGUUGCUAUUCCUGCGAUACCUCUUGCACUGUGCAUGCCUGUGACGCAGAGCUUACCUGGAUCUUCUACAGAAGGACCAUAUAGAUUGUUGGCUGCACCUAUUGAAGCAGUUCCAAUUUCAUACUGCCCUGCAGAACCCAUAAGACAGACACAAAAAGGUAUUUGUGCUUUAGGUCCAUUUGGAGGUGUUCUGUCUGAACUGAAGAACCAAGGAACAGUCCCCAAAUCUAUAGUUCAUGCUACAGCUCUUGCUUGUGGUGCUCGUGCUGUUCCUCUUGAAGAUGCAGCUUCGCUUAUUAGUGCCAUUGAAUCCAAAAUCAGAUCUGGAGGGGCCAUAAUAGCGAAACUUCCUUCAAACAACCUAGCACCUCUAGUUCCUCCAGCCAUUGCUAUGUCAUCUUCUAGUGAAGAUGACGAGGAGCAUGACCACAGUGAGCCCUCGCAAUGAUCGAUGUCGAUCGCAACGUUAAUCAUCAGAGCUCCAACGCGAUGAAGCUUCAGAGGGAGCUAUCGGAGUUCGAAACUGAAGCUGGCAACUGACCUGGUCUGAAGACGAAAGAAAAUGAUCAUACUGAUUGCUAACAUACGCGAAGUGAAGGACUGAAGUUGUUCUAAAGAUCAAAGCUUCCCUGAAAGGUGGCAGAUCUAUUCUAUGAUUUGAGACAUUUUUUAAAAGAUUGGAUUAGGAUUGUAGUCACUUGUUUCUGUUGAGUUUAUAUUGUAAUCAGAUUAACUCAAGUUAAUACCUCCAGUGGAGAAUUGUAGAAAGGAGUAACCAUGCUAUGUACAUGUCUUCUGCAUAAAAGAAAGGCGAUAGAGUUUAAAA